rnacentral:rRNA from 1 species
UACGUAGGGUGCGAGCGUUAAUCGGAAUUACUGGGCGUAAAGCGUGCGCAGGCGGUUCGUUGUGUCGGCGGUGAAAGCCCCGGGCUUAACCUGGGAAUGGCCGUUGAAACUGGCGAACUGGAGUGUGGCAGGGGGGGGUGGAAUUCCGCGUGUAGCAGUGAAAUGCGUAGAGAUGCGGAGGAACACCGAUGGCGAAGGCAGCCCCCUGGGCUGACACUGACGCUCAGGCACGAAAGCGUGGGGAGCAAACAGG